GAAACUUCUUUGGAUGUCAAUUCCGCUCUAUUCAAAAUUACACGCAAGUUUUGUUUUUCUUCGUUUGCCUUCUCACUUUUCUCCUUGCAAUUCUUUGAAAUGUGCCCAAACUGAUUGCACUUGAAGCACUUUUUCCCCUUCUCUUUGCUCGAGCAACUGCUAGACACAUAACCCUUCUCUCCGCAGUUGUAACACACGACGUCUUUUUUGCCAGUCUGGGUAUAAUUUUGUCCAACCGACAUCUUCUUAUCUCUUCCCGUCUUCUCACUCUUUUUUAUUUUCUCGUUUAUUUUCUCAUAAUCUUUUAAUUUGUUCUUGAAAUCAGACAUCUUUUUCGCACCAUAUAAAAUAGAUUUAUUUAAUGCCAUCUCGUCGACACCGUCAAUCACGUAUUGCAUAAGUGCGUCGUCUUUGACAUUUCCUCUUGCAGCAAUAUCUCUCAUGCGAUAAAAAUAUUCCAGAACAUUCUCUUUCGGUCGCCGUUUACUCUCGUUGAGUUGCAUGUGUAUCUGUUUGCUAUUUACCUUCGACUGAAACUCAUUCAACAGCGCAAACUUCAAUGUUUCCCAUGAGUUCAAAUGUUUUUCGCUUAAAACAAAUAAUUUGGCAAUGCCUUUCAAAG
rnacentral:lncRNA from 1 species